rnacentral:rRNA from 1 species
GAUGAACGCUGGCGGCGUGCCUAAUACAUGCAAGUCGAGCGAACGGACGAGAAGCUUGCUUCUCUGAUGUUAGCGGCGGACGGGUGAGUAACACGUGGAUAACCUACCUAUAAGACUGGGAUAACUUCGGGAAACCGUAGCUAAUACCGGAUAAUAUUUUGAACCGCAUGGUUCAAAAGUGAAAGACGGUCUUGCUGUCACUUAUAGAUUGAUCCGCGCUGCAUUAGCUAGUUGGUAAGGUAACGGCUUACCAAGGCAACGAUGCAUAGCCGACCUGAGAGGGUGAUCGGCCACACUGGAACUGAGACACGGUCCAGACUCCUACGGGAGGCAGCAGUAGGGAAUCUUCCGCAAUGGGCGAAAGCCUGACGGAGCAACGCCGCGUGAGAGAUGAAGGUCUUCGGAUCGUAAAACUCUGUUAUUAGGGAAGAACAUAUGUGUAAGUAACUGUGCACAUCUUGACGGUACCUAAUCAGAAAGCCACGGCUAACUACGUG